rnacentral:rRNA from 1 species
GAUGAACGCUGGCGGCGUGCCUAAUACAUGCAAGUCGAGCGAACAGACGAGGAGCUUGCUCCUCUGACGUUAGCGGCGGACGGGUGAGUAACACGUGUAUAACCUACCUAUAAUACUGGGAUAACUUCGGGAAACCGGAUCUAAUACCGGAUAAUAUAUUGAACCGCAUGGUUCAAUAGUGAAAGACGGUUUUGCUGUCACUUAUAGAUGGAUCCGCGCCGCAUUAGCUAGUUGGUAAGGUAACGGCUUACCAAGGCGACGAUGCGUAGCCGAAGUGAGAGGGUGAUCGGCCACACUGGAACUGGGACACGGUCCAGGCUCCUACGGGAGGCAGCAGUAGGGAAUCUGCCGCAAUAGGCGAAAGCCUGACGGAGCGACGCCGCGUGAGUGAUGAAGGUCUUCGGAUCGUAAAGCUCUGUUAUUAGUGAAGAACAAAUGUGUAAGUAACUAUGCACGUCUAGACGGUACCUAAUCAGAAAGCAACGGCUAACUACGUG